UAACAGUCUACAGCCAUGGUCGU
rnacentral:piRNA from 2 species